GAGGCCUGGCACGGCAUAGCACACUGGUAGAAGUGUGCUCUCCCGAACCGGAGCGGUGAUGUCCUCACCACUGGAGAAAGAAGAGAGUCUACGGAGCGUCCACUGACCACCACUAGCAGCGGGAAAGACGCUAGCACUAGCAGCAUUUGGAGUGAGACAGAGGUCACGCUUUAAAUGGGGAUCUCAUUCAUCGCAAACAGAGGAUAUUUCAUACCGCCCAGUGAGGAGACAUGUGGAACAGCAGGGGUAUCACAAAAAAAAGGAGAGAGUCAAGAAAUGAUUGUAAAACUCCAGCAGCGAACAGACGCAGGAAAGUAAUUGCUAAACUGAAACCAAAGACGUAGCACAACAUAAACCUGUAUCACACUAUCCAGACAACCAUGAAAUAUGUAUGAGGAGCAGUAACGCCUCAAGGGGGAAGAGAGAGGCAACUAUAUAUCCG